AAAACUCGAGUACCUCUGAGGGAAAGCCGGACCCCUUGUCCAUCCUCUCCUGUUGGAGGAAUGAGGAGUUCAAAGGCCACGUCCACACAGAGGGUGACAGAGGCAUCCUCUCCGCGCAGGACGCGGACUGGGGGCAGGCACGCAGCGCCACCCGGAUCCUGGAGUCGUCAAGAAAAACGCGGGCGCGCAGGCCGAAGAGGAAAUCACUGUGUUUUCAGCUCAGCGGCCCUGUGACAUUCCUUCGUGUUGUCAUUUGUUGAGUGACCAAUCAGAUGGGUGGAGUGUGUUACAGAAAUUGGCAGCAAGUAUCCAAUGGGUGAAGAAGAAGCUAACUGGGGACGUGGGCAGCCCUGACGUGAUGAGCUCAACCAGCAGAGACAUUCCAUCCCAAGAGAGGUCUGCGUGACGCGUCCGGGAGGCCACCCUCAGCAAGACCACCGUACAGUUGGUGGAAGGGGUGACAGCUGCAUUCUCCUGUGCCUACCACGUAACCAAAAAUGAAGGAGAACUACUG
rnacentral:lncRNA from 1 species